CUAUGCACCAGGAAAUGGGUCCUCACCAGACAUUGAAUUGAUUAGUGUCUUGAUCUUAGACUUGCCAGCCUCCAGAACUGUGAGAAGCAUCCAUUGUUUAAGCCACCCAGUCUAUGAUAUUUUUGUGGUAACAGACUCAACUAAUCAAGGCAUCUCUCAAUAUCGAUGAAGUUUACCAUUGUACAUCAAUAAAGAAAAGAAAAAAAUAAUAGGGAAUUUUAAAAGUAAAGUCAUCUUAGAAACUAUGUCGUCCAACUGAAUCAUUUAUACAGAUGUCCUCACCUGAGUUUCAUUCAUCCUCACUUACUUCACAUCCUGAUCCUCAAGUCUGACUUUUGCCAAAAAUCAGAAUGGACCCUGCUUCCUGCUUCCAAAGAUGUUCAUCAACAAAAAUCAUCAAUACCCAAAAAAAAAUCAUCAAUACCCCAUUUAUUUAGCAUUUCCUGUGCACUUGGUAGUGUGGUGAACACUUUAAAAAUAAGUGAGUUAAACCUCCCAAGAAGUCUAUGAAGUAGAUAUCACUGUUCACAUCUGCCCCUUGGCCUUUCCCUUGCAUUGAAACAAGACUUUUAUCUUGGUGCUCACAAUUUAGUGAUAGAGUUUGAGAAGUAAGCAGCCAAGAACAGCACAGAUAGUACAAAGUAUUGACCUUGAUCUCACAUCUUAAUGAUUUAAUGGGACAAAAAUUUAUGCCAUUAUUUAAAUUUAAUUCACUGAAGUUAUGUAGUGCUUAAUAAUUUCUCAGAUGGUGUUGCCUAUAUAAUCUUCCCCAAUCUUCACAGUAACAUUGAGAAGUAAAUAUUGUUAUGACCCCAUUUUCACAGACCAGGGAAGGAGACUCAUAGAUGUUAAGCAACCUACACAAAAACCUAUUAGCAAAUGGCAACUGUAAGAGGUGUCUUACAGGUGAAGGUGGUGUCCCUUCAGAUCCAUGCACUUUGAAUAAUAUAGUGACUCUAUAUAACUAUAUAUACUAACUGUAUAGAUAGUUACCUAUGUAACUAGAUUAACACACACACAUGGUAGCAUGUGUUGUAGUGGUCAAGGCCAAGACGAGCCACUUUGGCAUGAACACUAUUUUGAGCUGAAGGCAAUCAGGAUCCUGCAGGCUCAAGAAAAACUUUUGCCCCUCCCUUAACUACUUAGUAGAAUCUAAAUUGGGCAUCUUUCUCAGAAUAAGAGUUAUUGGCAAAGAUAAUUUUUAUGUAAGUGACCCAUUUGUAUGGCAAGGUAACAUCCAAUUACUGAACAUAUGCUUUUCUUAUUGCCCUGUAAAUUGCAUUCAUUUCCUCUAAAUUGCCUGACCCCACCCUCUUUUCCUUAAUUCAGGAUGAUGUAUAUACCUCAUUUUGCCUAACUAGCUUUGGAAUUUUCAUGUCUUUGUGGAUUCCCCAUGCAUAUGCUAUUAAAUUUGAUUUUCU
rnacentral:lncRNA from 1 species